rnacentral:rRNA from 1 species
GACGAACGCUGGCGGCGUGCUUAACACAUGCAAGUCGAACGGAAAGGCCCUGCUUUUGUGGGGUGCUCGAGUGGCGAACGGGUGAGUAAAACGUGAGUAACCUGCCCUUGACUUUGGGAUAACUUCACGAAACUGGGGCUAAUACCGGAUAGGAGCUCCUGAUGCACGGUGGGGGUUGGAAAGUGUCGGCGGUUUGGGCUGGACUCGCGGCUUAUCAGCUUGUUGGUGGGGUAGUGGCUUACCAAGGCUUUGACGGGUAGCCGGCCUUAGAGGGUGACCGGCCACAAUGGGACUGAGAUACGGCCCAGACUCCUACGGGAGGCAGCAGGGGGGAAUAUUGCACAAUGGGCGGAAGCCUGAUGCGGCAACGCCGCGUGCGGGAUGACGGCCUUCGGGUUGUAAACCGCUGUCGCCUGUGACGAAGCGGUAGUGACGGUAAUGGGUAAAGAAGCACCGGCUAACUACGUG